GCCUCUGUAGCUCAGUGGCUAGAGCAUCUGCCUCGUAAGCAGAAGGUCGGGGGUUCAAAUCCCCUCAGAGGCU
rnacentral:tRNA from 1 species